UACAGAGGCCUCAAGCGUUGUUCGGAAUUACUGGGCGUAAAGGGAGUGUAGGUGGCGAUGCAAGUCAGGUGUGAAAUCCCUGGGCUUAACCCGGGAACUGCAUUUGAUACUGUGUUGCUAGAGUGCGAGAGAGGAAAGCGGAAUUCCCGGUGUAGGGGUGAAAUCCGUAGAUAUCGGGAGGAAUACCAAUGGCGAAGGCAGCUUUCUGGCUCGUAACUGACACUGAGACUCGAAAGCACGGGUAGCAAAC
rnacentral:rRNA from 1 species